CGCUCCUGGCCCCGCAAACGCACCGCCACUCACACCUGCAGCUACGCAGGCUGCGGCAAGACCUACACCAAGAGUUCGCAUCUGAAGGCGCAUCUGCGCACGCACACAGGUGAGAAGCCCUACCACUGCAACUGGGACGGCUGCGGCUGGAAGUUUGCGCGCUCAGACGAGCUCACACGCCACUACCGCAAGCACACGGGCCACCGGCCUUUCCAGUGCCAUCUGUGCGAUCGUGCCUUCUCGCGCUCCGACCACCUGGCGUUGCACAUGAAACGGCACAUGUAGCCGGGACGCCCCUGCCCACCUGCGCGCGGCCGUGGCGGGUCCCACGCGCCGGGCGCGGCCCCCUCCCAAACUGUGACUGAUAUUUAUUGGACCCAGAGAACCGGGCCGGGCACAGCGUGGCUACAGAGGGUCUCCCUCGAUGACGACGACGACGACGCCACCGCCCCAGCCCCCAUCUGUGACUGAAGGCCCGGUGGGAAAAGACCACGAUCCUCCUUGACGAGUUUUGUUUUUCAAAAUGGUGCAAUAAUUUAAGUGGCAUCUUCUCUCCCACCGGGUCUACACUAGAGGAUCGAGGCUUGUGAUGCCUUGUGAGAAAUAAGGGCCUUAAUUUGUACUGUCUGCGGCAUUUUUUAUAAUAUUGUAUAUAGUGACUGUGACAAAUAUUGUAUUACUGUACAUAGAGAGACAGGUGGGCAUUUUUGGGCUACCUGGUUCGUUUUUAUAAGAUUUUGCUGUUUUUUUUUUUAAUUAAAAAGUUUUGCAUCUUUUAAAAAAAAAAACCACAGUACUGGUCUGGCUGCUUGGAACUGGGGCCUUGGGGCACUUGGGAGGAGGGGGGAGCGGACAGUUUGAUGGAGGGCAGCGCCACUAAAGCAUCGUGUGCAGUGGGUCCUGCCUCUGGCCAGCACCGGGACUGCCAGCUGCUGUGCCCGCCUGCCAGGAACCUGUGGGUUUUUCUGUAAAUUUAAACACUGCAUUUUAGGACUGAGGGUGGGUUAUUUUAAGGUUGUUCUUUGAGCCAUAAAUUGCCUCUUUGCCCCAAAGCUGGGAAAGUGCUGGUCCCACUGACGUGGCCUCCUCUAGGCUAAAGAAAAAAAAAAAAAAAACAAAAAAACUUAUGUCUUCCUGGAAGCCUCUGAGGUUUUAGCCAAAUUUCUGGAGUGCCAGCUUUUUAAAUUUUAUUUAUAUUUUUAAAAGGGGUUAACAUGCUAAGUUUCUGGCAUGUUCUGCCCUUCACUGGUCUUGACAUUAAUGCAAGUCUUUUCUUAAGGGGUGAGUUCCGCAUUCUGCUAGGGGAAAACAGUGAAACCUGCAUUCGAGGGCUAUGCAGGAAGCUCUUUUCCAGAUGAGGAAACGGAGGCCCAGAGAGGUAGCCGCAGGGUGGUGGAGUUGGGUUGUUAGCCUGCUCUGUCUGCCUCCAAGGCUCCCUGAACCCUACUGGAAGGGGGUGGUGACUUUUCUGCAAUUGACCCACCUGUUGUGUGCAUUGGAAGGCAAGGAGAGAAGCCUCUCCUGUAGGUCUCCAGGUGCAAAACAUUCACUGCCUCAAUGGUGGGAGGUGACCAGUCUGGAAACCCACCUAGAGAGCAGACGAGAUCCCUAAAUCCUACUGUCCUGAAUGUCGCAGUCAGGCAAGGAGGUAUCUCUCCCCCCAGAUUUCCCCUGCCAUCCCUCACCUUCCCCAUUCUCGGGGGCCCCGGGUAACCAUGACCACCAACCAUUGCACAAGUUUUCAGAAAGUGAAAAUGGCUCGUAAGCAGUGCCUGCUUUAAAACACUCUCACCCCGUUGCGACAGAGGCUGGGAUUUCCUCCCUCCCUCCAUCCUUCCUCCUCCCCAACUGGAAACAGCUGAGAGGUGUUUGGUAAUCCACAAAAAGCAGAAAUACGAGAUGACAAUCUGAUUCAUUUUUUGAGA